rnacentral:rRNA from 1 species
AGUCGCCGCGGGAAUACGUAGGUCCCGAGCGUUGUCCGGAUUUACUGGGCGUAAAGCGAGCGCAGGCGGUUAGAUAAGUCUGAAGUUAAAGGCUGUGGCUUAACCAUAGUACGCUUUGGAAACUGUUUAACUUGAGUGCAAGAGGGGAGAGUGGAAUUCCAUGUGUAGCGGUGAAAUGCGUAGAUAUAUGGAGGAACACCGGUAGCGAAAGCGGCUCUCUGGCUUGUAACUGACGCUGAGGCUCGAAAGCGUGGGGAGCAAACAGGAUUAGAUACCCGAGUAGUCCCUGUCUCUUAUACAC